rnacentral:rRNA from 1 species
UACGGAGGGUGCAAGCGUUAUCCGGAUUCACUGGGUUUAAAGGGUGCGUAGGCGGGCAGGUAAGUCAGUGGUGAAAUCUCCGAGCUUAACUCGGAAACUGCCAUUGAUACUAUUUGUCUUGAAUAUUGUGGAGGUAAGCGGAAUAUGUCAUGUAGCGGUGAAAUGCUUAGUUAUGACAUAGAACACCAAUUGCGAAGGCAGCUUACUACACAAUGAUUGACGCUGAGGCACGAAAGCGUGGGGAUCAAACAGG